UACGUAGGGGGCAAGCGUUAUCCGGAUUUACUGGGUGUAAAGGGAGCGUAGACGGCGAGACAAGUCUGAAGUGAAAGCCCGCGGCUCAACCGCGGAACUGCUUUGGAAACUGUCAAGCUUGAGUGCAGGAGAGGUAAGUAGAAUUCCUAGUGUAGCGGUGAAAUGCGUAGAUAUUAGGAGGAACACCAAUGGCGAAGGCGGCUUACUGGACUGUAACUGACGUUGAGGCUCGAAAGCGUGGGGAGCAAAC
rnacentral:rRNA from 1 species